AUGAACGCUGGCGGCGUGCCUAAUACAUGCAAGUCGAACGAGGUGCUUUUGUAGCAAUACGAGAGUAUCCUAGUGGCGAACGGGUGAGUAACGCGUUGGUGACCUACCCCAAAGUGUGGGAUAACAGUCCGAAAGGACUGCUAAUACCGCAUGUGGUUAUUGGAUUUAGAAACCGGUAACUAAAGGAGCAAUUCGCUUGGGAGGGACCUGCGUCCCAUCAGCUAGUUGGUGAGGUAAUGGCUCACCAAGGCGACGACGGGUAGGGGACCUGAGAGGGUGGCCCCCCACAAUGGAACUGAAACACGGUCCAUACACCUACGGGUGGCAGCAGUAGGGAAUAUUGCUCAAUGGGCGAAAGCCUGAAGCAGCAACGCCGCGUGUGUGAUGAAGGCCUUCGGGUCGUAAAGCACUUUUCUGGGAGAUGAGAAAGGACAGUAUCCCAGGAAUAAGUCUCGGCUAACUACGUGCCAGCAGCCGCGGUAAAACGUAGGAGGUAAGCGUUAUCCGGAUUCACUGGGCGUAAAGCGCGUGCAGGUGGCGUGGUAAGUUGGAUGUGAAAUCUCCCGGCUCAACUGGGAGAGGUCAUUCAAUACUACCGUGCUUGAGAGCAGAAGCGGAAGAUGGAAUUCCCGGUGUAGUGGUGAAAUGCGUAGAUAUCGGGAGGAACACCAGUGGCGAAGGCGAUCUUCUGGUCUGUUUCUGACACUCAGACGCGACAGCUAGGGUAGUAAACGGGAUUAGAGACCCCGGUAAUCCUAGCCGUAAACGAUGUGAACUUGGCGUUGGGGGGUUAAACUCCAUCAGUGCCGUAGCAAACGCGAUAAGUUCACCGCCUGGGGACUACGGCCGCAAGGUUAAAACUCAAAGGAAUUGACGGGGGCCCGCACAAGCAGCGGAGCGUGUGGUUUAAUUCGAUGCUACACGAAGAACCUUACCCAGGCUUGACAUACAGGUGGUAGGGAUCCGAAAGGUGACCGACCCGCAAGGGAGCCUGAACAGGUGUUGCAUGGCUGUCGUCAGCUCGUGUCGUGAGAUGUUCGGUUAAGUCCGCUAACGAGCGCGACCCUCGCUGCGUGUUACAAGUGUCACGCAGGACCGCCGGUAUUAAGCCGGAGGAAGGUGGGGAUGACGUCAAGUCAGCAUGGCCUUUAUGCCUGGGGCUACACACACGCUACAAUGGGCAGUACAAUGGGUUGCUAAGCCGCGAGGUGGAGCCAAUCCCCCAAAACUGUCCUCAGUUCGGAUUGCAGGCUGCAACUCGCCUGCAUGAAGCCGGAGUUGCUAGUAAACGCGCGUCAGCUAUAGUGCGUUGAAUACGUUCUCGGGCCUUGUACACACCGCCCGUCACGUCAUGGGAGCUGGUAACACCUGAAGCCGGUAGCCUAACCGCAAGGAGGGCGCCGUCGAAGGUGGGGCUGGUGACUGGGACG
rnacentral:rRNA from 1 species